rnacentral:rRNA from 1 species
GACAGAGGGUGCAAACGUUGUUCGGAAUUACUGGGCGUAAAGCGCGUGUAGGCGGCCCUGUAAGUCGGGUGUGAAAUCCCACGGCUCAACCGUGGAAGUGCAUUCGAAACUACAGGGCUAGAGUUCUGGAGAGGAAGGUGGAAUGCUUGGUGUAGAGGUGAAAUUCGUAGAUAUCAAGCGGAACACCGGUGGCGAAGGCGGCCUUCUGGACAGUAACUGACGCUGAGGCGCGAAAGCGUGGGGAGCAAACAGG